AGGGUUCGAUUAUGGCUCAGGAUGAACGCUGGCGGCGUGCUUAACACAUGCAAGUCGAACGAACCUUCGGGUUAGUGGCGGACGGGUGAGUAACGCGUGGGAAUCUGCCCUCAGGAGGGGGAUAACGGCUGGAAACGGCCGCUAAUACCCCAUAUGCCGAGAGGUGAAAUGAAUUUCGCCUGAGGAUGAGCCCGCGUCUGAUUAGCUAGUUGGUGAGGUAAGAGCUCACCAAGGCAUCGAUCAGUAGCUGGUCUGAGAGGAUGAUCAGCCACACUCGGGGAUCUGAGAAACCGGUCCCAGACUUCCUUACGGAAGGCAGCAGUGGGGAAUUUUCCGCAAUGGGCCAAAGCCUGACCGAGCAACGCCGCGUGAAGGAUGAAGGCCUCUGGGCUGUAAACCUCUUUUCUCAAGGAAGAAGAUCUGACGGUACUUGAGGAAUAAGCACACGGCUAAUUCCGUGCCAGCAGCCGCGGUAAUACGGGAGUGGCAAGCGUUAUCAGGAAUUAUUGGGCGUAAAGCGUCCGCAGGCGGCCCUUCAAGUCUGCUGUUAAAGCGUGGAGCUUAACUCCAUCAUGGCAGUGGAAACUGUUGGGCUUGAGUGUGGUAGGGGCAGAGGGAAUUCCCGGUGUAGCGGUGAAAUGCGUAGAUAUCGGGAAGAACACCAGUGGCGAAGGCGCUCUGCUGGGCCAUAACUGACGCUCAUGGACGAAAGCCAGGGGAGCGAAAGGGAUUAGAUACCCCUGUAGUCCUGGCCGUAAACGAUGAACACUAGGUGUCGGGGGAAUCGACCCCCUCGGUGUCGUAGCCAACGCGUUAAGUGUUCCGCCUGGGGAGUACGCACGCAAGUGUGAAACUCAAAGGAAUUGACGGGGGCCCGCACAAGCGGUGGAGUAUGUGGUUUAAUUCGAUGCAACGCGAAGAACCCUUACCAGGGUUUGACAUCCUGCGAAUCUUCUUGAAAACGAGAGAGUGCCUUCGGGAGCGCCAGUGACAGGUGGGUGCAUGGCUGUCGUCAGCUCGUGUCGUGAGAUGUUCGGUUAAGUCCCGCAACGAGCGCAACCCACGUCUUUAGUUGCCAGCAUUGAGUUGGGCACUCUAGAGAGAACGCCGGUGAUAAACCGGAGGAAGGUGUGGAUGACGUCAAGUCACUCAUGCCCCUAACAUCCUGGGCUACACACGUACAUACAAGUGUCUACGGACAAAGAGCAGCAAGUUCGCGAGGACAAGCAAAUCUCAUAAACCGUGGCUCAGUUCAGAUCGUAGGCUGCAACUCGCCUACGUGAAGGAGGAAUCGCUAGUAAUCGCAGGUCAGCAUACUGCGGUGAAUACGUUCCCGGGCCUUGUACACACCGCCCGUCACACCAUGGAAGUUGGCCACGCCCGAAGCCGUUACUCCAACCCUUGUGGAGGAGGACGUCGAAGGUGGGGCUGAUGACUGGGGUGAAGUCGUAACAAGGUAACC
rnacentral:rRNA from 1 species